rnacentral:rRNA from 1 species
AUUGAACGCUGGCGGCAGGCCUAACACAUGCAAGUCGAACGAGCGGCGGACGGGUGAGUAAUGUCUGGGAAACUGCCUGAUGGAGGGGGAUAACUACUGGAAACGGUAGCUAAUACCGCAUACCAUCGGAUGUGCCCAGAUGGGAUUAGCUAGUAGGUGGGGUAACGGCUCACCUAGGCGACGAUCCCUAGCUGGUCUGAGCGGAUGACCAGCCACACUGGAACUGAGACACCGUCCAGACUCCUACGGGAGGCAGCAGUGGGGAAUAUUGCACAAUGGGCGCAAGCCUGAUGCAGCCAUGCCGCGUGUGUGAAGAAGGCCUUCGGGUUGUAAAGUACUUUCAGCGGGGAGGCGUUACCCGCAGAAGAAGCACCGGCUAACUCCGUGCCAGCAGCCGCGGUAAUUC